CGGACGGGUGAGUAACGCGUGGAUAACCUGCCUCACACUGGGGGAUAACAGUUAGAAAUGGCUGCUAAUACCGCAUAGGCGCACAGUACCGCAUGGUACGGUGUGAAAAACCCAGGUGGUGUGAGAUGGAUCCGCGUCUGAUUAGCCAGUUGGCGGGGUAACGGCCCACCAAAGCGACGAUCAGUAGCCGACCUGAGAGGGUGACCGGCCACAUUGGGACUGAGACACGGCCCAA
rnacentral:rRNA from 1 species